GCAGUCGAACGGUAGAGGGGGCAACCCCUUGAGAGUGGCGAACGGCUGAGUAAUAUAUCGGAACGUGCCCAGUCGUGGGGGAUAACGUAGCGAAAGUUACGCUAAUACCGCAUACGAUCUAAGGAUGAAAGCGGGGGAUCGCAAGACCUCGCGCGAUUGGAGCGGCCGAUAUCAGAUUAGGUAGUUGGUGGGGUAAAGGCUCACCAAGCCAACGAUCUGUAGCUGGUCUGAGAGGACGACCAGCCACACUGGAACUGAGACACGGUCCAGACUCCUACGGGAGGCAGCAGUGGGGAAUUUUGGACAAUGGACGCAAGUCUGAUCCAGCCAUUCCGCGUGCAGGAUGAAGGCCCUCGGGUUGUAAACUGCUUUUGUACGGAACGAAAAGGUUUCUCUCAAUACGAGGAGCUCAUGACGGUACCGUAAGAAUAAGCACCGGCUAACUACGUGCCAGCAGCCGCGGUAAUACGUAGGGUGCAAGCGUUAAUCGGAAUUACUGGGCGUAAAGCGUGCGCAGGCGGUUAUGUAAGACAGAGGUGAAAUCCCCGGGCUCAACCUGGGAACUGCCUUUGUGACUGCAUAGCUAGAGUACGGUAGAGGGGGAUGGAAUUCCGCGUGUAGCAGUGAAAUGCGUAGAUAUGCGGAGGAACACCGAUGGCGAAGGCAAUCCCCUGGACCUGUACUGACGCUCAUGCACGAAAGCGUGNGGAGCAAACAGGAUUAGAUACCCUGGUAGUCCACGCCCUAAACGAUGUCAACUGGUUGUUGGGUCUUCACUGACUCAGUAACGAAGCUAACGCGUGAAGUUGACCGCCUGGGGAGUACGGCCGCAAGGGUGAAACUCAAAGGAAUUGACGGGGGACCGCACAAGCGGUGGAUGACGUGGUUUAAUUCGA
rnacentral:rRNA from 1 species